rnacentral:lncRNA from 1 species
AGUGAGCACACACACAUUAUUCGAACUUUAUAUAAAGUCUGAGGAAAAAUAGAGAAAAUWAAAAAAUCACCAACAGAUCAUAAUACCAAAUUAGAAUUCAAUCCAAAGAGCCAGCCAAAAUUGUCCAGUGAUUUAUGAGUUGAAUAUU